AUUUAUAUAGUUUAAAUAAAACAUUACAUUUUCAUUGUAAAAAUAAAAUAAAUUUUUUUAUAAAUA
rnacentral:tRNA from 1 species